rfam:Canis lupus familiaris chromosome 4, whole genome shotgun sequence.
GUGCUCCCUUAGGCAGCACAUCCACUAAAAUUGGAAGCAUACAGAGAACACUAGUGUGGCACAAGGAUGACACAGAAAUUUAUAAAGUUUCCAGAUAUAUAUUUUU